UACAGAGGGGGCAAGCGUUGUUCGGAAUUACUGGGCGUAAAGGGCGCGUAGGCGGCCUGCUAAGUCGAACGUGAAAUCCCUGGGCUCAACCCAGGAACUGCGUCCGAUACUGGUUGGCUUGAAUCCGGGAGAGGGAUGUGGAAUUCCAGGUGUAGCGGUGAAAUGCGUAGAUAUCAAGAGGAACACCUGCGGCGAAGGCGGGUUGCUGGGCCGACACUGACGCUGAGGCGCGAAAGCUAGGGGAGCGAACGGG
rnacentral:rRNA from 1 species